UCCCCUUGCGAGUAGAAACCACCUUAAGCAAGUGUGCCAAACUCGCCCUUCCUCCCCCUUCCCUGCCAUGCCGGGACGGGACGUUCCUCUUCCGCCAGAUGGCCAACAGGGACCUGAGCAGAGGACGGCUGGGCUAGAGCAGACUGUUUCCGUCGGGCAUGGGUGCCAGCAGUGUUCUGCACAGCGCCAGCGCUCUGCUCUCCCGGCUUGGGGCGGGGCACCUCGGGGAGCUGAUCCUGUAGCCCAGGGCAGGCAGCGCUCCUGUCAGCCGUCCGACUCUCAGACCUGCAGGGCCCUGCUCUCAGUUUCCCAGUUCCUUGUCCCUCGGGGUGGGAGCUGUUUCCUAUGAAGCUGCUUUAGGGUUUUUUUAAAACCCCUUUUAGUAGUUAGCCAAUCUUUACCACAGUAAGCAACUGUUUCUGUCGUUUCUUGUUUACAUUUUCCCCUCACUGCACCCUGAAUGAUACAUCAGGUGAUCAAAAUGAACAGCCCCACGGCAGGGCAGAUGACAUCGUGUGCUCCUGAUGUCACACCCUGAGAGGACACACGACACGGGUAGUGCUCCAACCACCUGGAAUGCAAAACCUAAUCUAAUCAAGAGGGAACAUCCGAUAAACCCAAAAUGAGUAGCAGCAUUUAAAAGGGAUCUUAAUCUUCCAAAAUGUCAAUGUCGUAAGUGGCAAAGCUAUGGCAAUGUCCCAGAUUAAAGGAGACCAAAGGGACAGGACAGCUAACUAUUAACACCUGGUCCUUGACUGGAUCCAGAACUGGAGGGGAAAUGGCACAAAGGACGUUGUGAGGUUGGCUGAAACACAAACGGUGGGCUUCAGUACUGUGUUCAGUGUACUCAGUUAGAAUAUCCUUAUCCUUAGGAAAUCCCCACCGAAGUAUUAAAGGCCAUGAUACUGGUACAGAGACAGCACACGCAAGAACACGAAUGACAGGCUAAGCAGGGCAAAAUGUGAAUAGUUGAAUCUAAACGAAGGGUUUGGGGGCCUUGUAUGUAAAAUUCUUAUUCUUGUAAUUUUUCUGUAACUUUGAAAUUAUUUCCAAAUAAAAUUAACUUUUAAAGAAAAGGCAACAGGAUACAGUAGUGGUUCUCAGCCUUCACUGCUCUCUGGAAGCUCCCAAGGGACCCAGGCAUCUGUAGUUCCCAAAGUUCUCUAGGUGAUUCCGAUGUGCAGACAACGGUUGGGAAAGUAGCACAGCCUGAGGGCUCAUCCACUGAAUUCAGACCUAGAAAGUGGCUCUUUUGCCCUCUGAAGAAUAAGCACUGGGGACCAGAGUCUCAGGGUUAAUACAAACUCCUAGCCCACCAUUAAAGGGAGGAAGCUGCUCUUUCACCAGGCAAGCAGAGAGGAAUGAGUAAAGGGGUGUGUAGAAUUAGCGUCUUGGGCAAGUUCAAAGACUAGGCUAGGAAUUGGCACAUUUUCCCGAAGCAAUUUCCUACUCUAGAGGCUCAGUUCUGCCGUGCAGAAAACAUCAGUCCAGAUAUUGCUCACCCCAGGUCUAAUCUGUGACGGGGCAGACACAGAAUGGUACAAUAGAAAACCGGAAAGGGGAGGAAGAGACAGGACUAGGGGGAGAAGGCGCUAGUGAAAGUCGUGAGGACAAGCAAAGCAUCCCUGCCUGCUGUGCAACCUGUAGGGACAAGAGGGGGAUGGGUCAGGGGACCUAGCAAACCACCUGUAGUUCUCAGAAGCCAUGAAUGUUUUAGUUAACUUCCGCUUCGUGAAUAGGAGUUAGUUCUUACUCCUCUCUCAACACCUCCAUUUUCAGGCAGGACAGACCUGCAUAAUUUCCCCCAAAUGGACAGAUCCAAACGGAAUGUGAACCCAUACCCCUAGAUGUGGUCCUUACUUGCUCCCUAGCUCUAUUCCUAAUUGUUUCCUCAGCCGACUGAGCCAGAAACCUGGGCCUCAUGCUAGACUCCUUCCUCUCCCUUCUCUCUGUCCCACAUGCAACCAGUGAUGGAAUUCCACCAUCCCCCUUCCCACUGCCACCAACCGCUCUUCUGCUCUCCCCCACACCACUACAGUCCUCUCACUGAAGCCCAGUCAAGUCCCUCUAAUCAUCCUCCCUACCGGAGCCACAGGGACAUCCGUAACACGUCCACUGGCACCACACAUGGCUGCCUCCACUUUCCACUGGACCUCCACAGAAUGUAGUGGGACACCCCAGAGGACUUGGGCUUUGCCCCUUCAACUUCUUUUCCCAGCCCUGUAUUUUAAGCUCCGGGCACAGCGAGCUACUUAUAGCUCCCUGAACACUCUAGCCCAUCUCACACUCCUGUGUGCCCUCUCCAACAAAGCCUAUCUGAGUUCAGGCCUUUUCUCCAGGAAGUUGCCUCUGACCUCUCUGGGUACCUCCUCCGCACUCCCAUUCUUUUGUUACUACAAUCAUUGCCCUGUAUGGAAAUUAUCUGUUUCUGUCUAUGUCUCCUAUAACAGGACUCCACAUUAUCCUUAAAGGCCAGGAGAGCAUCAUCGCCAUAUGCCGGACUCAUGCACAUGCUUAAGUGUUCCAUAUUUGUAGGAUAUACUGGACUGAAAAGCAUCUGUGGUUUUCUAGAUCCCAAGGCCUUUAGAAUUUGGCAACUGAUAUAAUUAAAACACAUGCAAAUCUUGAUGAACUGUAGACAGCACCAACAUUUAAAACACUACACUGCUGCUUGGGAACUGUUCCGCCGGUGAUGAGGAGCUCAUAAGCAGGAUCUCUACUCCUUCUGCACAAUACGAUGCAUGCACACAACAUGCCCAGCAGCUGUGGGAAGAAAACAACAGGGGAAAAAAGAAGGCUGAAGGCUCUCUCAUAGCAAGUGUGUAUUUCUUGGUUGGCAAUGGAGUGGUUUCAAAGUUCCACAAUAACAACAGGAACAGAAGUAAUUUCUAAUGAAUACAUUAACUUUUUAGGAACCAACUUUUAGUUUCCCUGUCUCACACCUGAGAACAAUAGGUGAAGAGCAGAGACACAAGACUCUCCUGCCAUCCCCACUCUCAAUCAACAACAGUGCUCUAAAAAAGAACUUCCUGCAAUGAUGGAAACAUUCUAUCAAACUGAGCUGUCAAACCUAGCCACUAGCCACAAGGGGCUACUGGGCGCCUGAAAUGUAGCUAGUGCAACUGCCCAAUUAUGUUUCUUAUUUUACGCAAAUUAAUUUAAACUUGGGACACAUGUAACUGGCUAGUGGCUACCAUACUGGACAACAAAGGUCUAGUGAGUGGAAUGACCAAGACGAUGUGUAUUAAGGAAACUUACUGGUGGUCUUUUCAGACAUCUGGAUUUGGGGACACAGGCUUUAUUAACAAUCCACAAAAUUCAGUACAUGAAUAGCCCAAAAGCCCUAUGGUGGAAAACUAAUCUUGAUGCCAAAAAAAUGGUUUGAAGGUUUUUGUCUCUUUCAUAAUUAUUUACUAUUUUUGAAAUCCAGAUUUGGUUCUGUAUUACACACACAUUAUUUUUUAAAGGUCACUCUUCCUUCAUCAUUUUAUUUUAAUAAGCCCUAAUCCUUCUGUGGCAGCAAACUGGAAUUGUAAUAAAGUCAUGCCAUGUUAUUUUGAAUAAGCUAGAGGAUUACACUGGAUUAAAGAGAAAAUGAUUCUAGAAUUUUGACCUGGCUUCUUACAAAAUAUAAAUAGUAACCAAAGAGCUAAAUAAAAGUAAGUUAAUUUGCUGUUCUAACUUUUCAUUGGCAGUGAAAGGUCUCAGUUAUUUGAUUUUAAAAGGCAAGGCUUUCUGUACAUAUGGGGUCAUUCAAUUUCAACAAAAUGUACUGGAUCCAUAAACAAGCUCUCAAAGUUUGCAGUGGAAGAUUACUAAUGAGACACAAUACACAGAGAAUACGGAUGUCCUCAAACUGAAUUCUCCAUGGUAUAAAAGUCACACACUCCAAUUUCUGCCCUCAAUUAGCCCAUAUUCUUUCUACCCAUUCAGGAUAUAUUCUUGCUGCUUAAAUCCAUCAGUUUCAUUAUAUCAAUAUUUGCUAAGUGCAGUAACAGCACAAAGCACCUUGAAGACGUUUUAAAAGUGGAUAUUGUUAAAUUUCAGUAAAUAUCUUUAGCCAGGUCUGGACAUGUUUUGUAUCUAAUUCCUAUAGAAAUACAUUUCCAUUCACUGUACAUCAUCAAAAUAUUCUUAGAACAGCUAUAAAAUCAAACACAAUUAUGUUCCCAGGCAAUGUUAAAUUGAGCAAUAAAAAUGCUAAGCUCAGAAAUUACUGAUUUUCUGGAAAAAAAAUCUCUCUUCCUAUCCCACUUCCCUCACAUUCCUUUCAGUUGGUUAACUUCUACUGAAGGAGUCAGCAUUCUCAAAUGGGGUCUGAAAUAAGCAUCAUUUCUCUUCCUGACUUUUAUUUCAAUUAAGUCAACUUGUACCGAUUUUAAAACAAUUAAAUAAGCUUGAUAAAACCCUA